AUUCUCAAAUUUUUAGGGCUAGCGCAAUACCACAGUUUUGGCUAAUCUUCAUGUUCUCUAGGGCAGUUAUUUUGCCCCAGUGACAGAAACAGCGACAGUAAUCAAAUAAUUCAUUACCUUAUCUACAUGUGGGUAGAGGCCCACAGGUGAAGGAAGAUUUUUGGCCUGCACUUUCACAGCUGGUAAACAUGGAUUGUGGUGGGCUAGUGACAGAAUGAAGAAGAUCAGUUUAAAAUGUGCUUUACAACCAGAGGUUGCAUUAUUUUGACAGACAAGGGCUGUAAGAAAAUUGUCAAAAUCAAUAAUAAUAUGAGCCAACAGCCAAACAAUAACAACUAAACUCAAUCAACUAUCUUAAUCUGCCUGAACUCAAAUCUUGUGGUCUAUAAAGUGGGAGUUUAUCUGUGUGUAAUUCAACCAUCAUGUUAGACUGAAGGAAUUGCAGUUAUCAUUAGAUUUCCCGACAGCACUGGACAAAUGACUUCUCACACUCAGUGUGACUUGAGACAAAGGAUAAACAAAGACAUUGAGUAUGUUUACAUGCACAUAAUAAGAGGACAAUUAUCCUAUUAUGAUAUUAUAAAAAUCAGCUUAUUACAUUAACAUGUUUCAAGCGUUUUAAUUUACUUUUAUUUGUGAAGUUUAUCUAUCUCAGGUGGAGACAUACGCACAUACGAAACGGCAAAAAAGACUUUAAAAUCUGGUUUAAGAGCAAAAAAACUACCUGUGCCAAUCAGUUUUUGCCAUUUAUGGGCUUUACCCUAUAAAAGAAAACCAUUUUAUGCAUUUAAAUGACCUUACACGUUAUCAGUUUAUUAAGCGUUUAGACUAUGUAGACACACUCACUGUGCACUAAAAUUAAAAAAAUUGGUUAACACGACCACUCGUGGUGGCUUCACUCAGAGGUUGGAGAAGACAACCGGUGGACUAAACAUCAAGCCUCUGCACGAUUCAGGUAAGUGGAAUAAAAUACAUUGUAAAUAAACAUUAUUAAAACAGAUUGUGAAGUCAUUCAUUCAAAACUUGCUAUGACCUAAGCCUAAAUGACUUAAUUUCUUUUUAGAAUUAAGACAACCUUAGCAGGAGAGCCCCAGCAGUAACUUUCUCUCAAGCAGAUGAGCAAUAAGUUGCUUUGUAUGAACACCACCCUAACAAUCAAGUAACCUGUUAACAGUAGACCAAAGCUUGACAAAAAUGUAGCUUGAAGGAGAAGGGACAGCUGAGUAACAAAGUCCUGGUAUGCAGACGACGAUACUAUUACACUGACAAGAGUGUAAUGAUGAUGGAGACACAAGCCAGAGAAAGGGGGGACCAAACACCAGGCCAGAAUUCUGCAUGAGUCAGAUCCAGUGGGUGCAGAUCAUCAUACAGAUGGUUCAAGUGUGGAUCCACCUAAUAUUCAAGAUUUUCUGUCCUGGGACACUCGGCUAACCAUCAAGAAAGAACACACUCCAGUGGGCAUCCUUUAUCCAUCCAGACCCUCAUACAGAUGUUGGAGUUUUGAUUCACCUAAAGUACCAUGCAAGAGCACUCAUUUUCCCUCUUGAGACCAUGGUGUGACCUGCAAGGUCGAAUGGAGACUGUAAGCGAGACAAUCUUGGAGUCACCUGCAUUGACUGGUCCAGUUGUUAGUCCAAUUACAGAUGGAGAUUAUAGAAGAGGAUGAUGUCUUUUCUCCAACAUCUUUCUAGACUGAUAAAAGAUCUAGACAGGCUUGAACAAAAGUUAACAGAGGGGCUUAUAUAGAGAAUGGUGAGCAGCUACACAUAAAAGAAGAACAUGGAGAAUCUGCCCAGAGGUGUUAACCAGCAAUGCAGCUAUACAACUAAAGUGAUGCAGGCGGAAACAAUGUGUAAUGCAGCUGCUGCAGAUG